rnacentral:tRNA from 1 species
GGGGAUAUGGCUCAGUUGGUAGAGCGGUGCGUUCGCAAUGCACAGGCCAGGGGUUCGAGUCCCCUUAUCUCCACCA